AUUUUUGAAAGCACAAUAAAAAUUCUCAGUACAUAAGCAAACAAUUUCAAUAUUCAAAAUUUCAAUAUAAGGAACUAUACACACACAGACACCAUUUUGGAGAUUCAGGCCAUCUCAAGCAUAAGUGGGAAAUAUUAUUAGCUAUCUGAAUCUUUAAGAAGGAUAAGGUAAGGAAGAAGUUCCCUUUCCAACCCUAAAAGUUAAUGUGGUAGAAGAACAAUUUCCCUCUGCCAAAGGAAAAAUCAUUGGUUUCAUACUUGAAAGUUACAACAUUAAAUUACACUCACUGAGUACAGUAGCCUAAGAUCAGUCCCUAAGUGUCAACCAUUGUGUAGUCUGUCGCUGAAAAGUAAUUUUUCAAUCUUUCAAUUAAGUGCACUGUAUAAUUUUAUGGCUUCAGUCUGAACGCGCGGUUCAUGCACAACUGUGUUAAACAAUGACAGGAGCAGCCUGGAAUGAGGAAGAGACUACAGGGAGGAUCCAGUCUGACAAUGAAGCUGACAUAGCAAAGGCCCGGGGAACAGUAUGGAAAUGCCAUAGUUUCAGCUGCAGCAACAGUGUAUGAAGAGGAAACACUAUAAAGAGGAACAAAGAGCCAGUGAAUUCAAAUCCCUCUGCAACAAUUUUACUAGCAAGUCAAACUUCUACACGGCAAAUGUCUGUCCUAAUUAUGCAAAAGGAAAAAGAAGAGGAUGUUUUCAGUCUUCUCCCUCACAGGCAUUAUUCUCGAGCUUUUCCAGUGUAACUGGGCUCAUGGCACCAUUGUGAUCACUGUUUUUACAGCAUAAUGAAAAGUUGGUGAACAAAAUGGGGUUUUUUUCAGUUGUGUAAAUCAUUAUUUGCAAUAUGCUAAAAUGUGAUGGUAUGAAACCUCUUCCAGUCUGACAGACUUCUGC
rnacentral:lncRNA from 1 species